rnacentral:rRNA from 1 species
GACGAACGCUGGCGGCGUGCCUAAUACAUGCAAGUAGAACGCUGAAGGAGGAGCUUGCUUCUCCGGAUGAGUUGCGAACGGGUGAGUAACGCGUAGGUAACCUGCCUGGUAGCGGGGGAUAACUAUUGGAAACGAUAGCUAAUACCGCAUAAGAGUAGAUGUUGCAUGUCAUUUGCUUAAAAGGUGCAAUUGCAUCACUACCAGAUGGACCUGCGUUGUAUUAGCUAGUUGGUGAGGUAACGGCUCACCAAGGCGACGAUACAUAGCCGACCUGAGAGGGUGAUCGGCCACGCUGGGACUGAGACACGGCCCAGACUCCUACGGGAGGCAGCAGUAGGGAAUCUUCGGCAAUGGACGGAAGUCUGACCGAGCAACGCCGCGUGAGUGAAGAAGGUUUUCGGAUCGUAAAGCUCUGUUGUAAGAGAAGAACGAGUGUGAGAGUGGAAAGUUCACACUGUGACGGUAUCUUACCAGAAAGGGACGGCUAACUACGUG